UUUCUUCAAAUGUUUACCAAAUUACAUGCUACAAAAAUGAUUUAUUUCAUUGAAAAGUGGAUGAAGAAAAGCAUACUAAUUUAUUUGAUAACAUCAAUCUACAUUAUUUUGAUGGUAUCAGCUGGACGAAGUACAGCUUUGAACCAGAUUUUACCGGCUAUAGAUGCUUGCCAACUUUGACGGUCUUUGAAACAAGCGGCGUCGACAACUCCAUGGCACGCGGUAAACUGUGUCACAAUCACGAAAAAUGCCUAAGCUUCGUCUACGAACAAGACGACCACAAAUGUAUUGGAUGCAUGGUAGAUCUUUUUGGUCAACUGUCGAUUAACCCUGUCGAUGAACUAGUGAGGGUCAUCUUACUACAGAAUUUUUGGUGCCGAUUGCACAGACAUACUGGAGAAGAAUCGCAGUGCAACAAGUUGUGUAUAUGAAGUAAAACCGUGGAAAAGCAAAUCGAAAUUCAAAGUCCUGUGUGAUAUGGAAACAAAAGGUGGUGGAUGGACGGUGUUUCAUAACCGAUUUGAUGGUUCAGUUGACUUCAGUCGAAAGCUGAAGGACUAUGAAAAUGGUUUUGGUGACAUAAAUGGGGAAUUUUGGCUCGGAUUUAAAUACAUUAAAGAGAUGGUCAAGAAAGGUACUCCCGAGCUAAUGAUACAGGUGACGGCACAAAAUGGGGAUACAGGACAGGAGUCAGCUCCAGACUUCAAGUUUCACGAUGAUGGAGAUUAUUCAUUUUCUGCCGAUAUUGAAAAAAAAUGAGCAACAAGGACUGUCAAACGCAGAUUUCAGAUGCAUAAAUCAGUUGGAAGGUACCCCGUUUAUUACCACGGACGUAAAAUUUGAUGGUGAUUACGCUGAAUGUGCUACAGAGAUGGAUAGUGCAUGGUGGUUCCUGAACUGUGGGUCAGACUUCUGCAAUCUCAAUGGUAGAUACGGCGAAAACGGACCAACUGGACACUAUCACCAGGGAAUGGCAGGAUAUGAAGCACUGAAGGCAUCAAGGAUGAUGUUUAGACGAACUGAAUACAAUCAGUAAAAACGAUGAUCGAGCUGAAACAAAGUUUUAGCAAGAAACUUUAUAUUUUUAGCUUAUUUAUUUCAUUUUUAGCUCGACUAUUCGAAGAAUAGUCUAGCUAUUCUACUCACCCUGGCGUCGGCGUCGGCGUCGGCGUCACACCUUGGUUAAGUUUUUGCAUGCAAGUACAUACAGCUAUCAUUUAAAGGCAUAUAGCUUUGAAACUUAUUUAUUCUUUUUCUAGGUCAAUUACCAACCUCUCUGGGUCAAGUCCCAUAACUCUGACAUGUAUUUUGAGCAAAUUAUGCCCCCUUUUGGACUUAGAAAAUUUUGGUUAAAGUUUUACAUGCAAGUUACUAUCUCCAAAACUAAUGCAGAUAUUGAAUUGAAACUUCACAUGUGUCUUCGGGGUUAUAAAACUAGUUGAUAGCACCAAGUCCAUAACUCUGACCUUCAUUUUGGCCAAAUUAUGCCCCCUUUUGGACUUAGAAAAUUCUGGUUAAAGUUUUGCGUGCAAGUACAUACAGCUAUUACUAAAAGGCAUAUAGAUUUGAAACUUAUUUUUUCUUUUUCUAGAUCAAUUACCUACCUCACUGGGUCAAGCCCCAUAACUCUGACAUGUAUUUUGGCCAAAUUAUGCCCCUUUUGGACUUAGAAAAUUCUGGUUAAAGUUUUGCGUGCAAGUACAUACAGCUAUUACUAAAAGGCAUAUAGAUUUGAAACUUAUUUUUUCUUUUUCUAGAUCAAUUACCUACCUCACUGGGUCAAGUCCCUUAACUCUGACAUGUAUUUUGAGCAAAUUAUGCCCCCUUUUGGACUUAGAAAAUUCUGGUUAAAGUUUUACAUGCAAGUUACUAUCUCCAAAACUAAUGCAGAUAUUGAAUUGAAACUUCACAUGUGUCUUCGGGGUUAUAAAACUAGUUGAUAGCACCAAGUCCCAUAACUCUGACCUUCAUUUUGGCCAAAUUAUGCCCCUUUUGGACUUAGAAAAUUCUGGUUAAAGUUUUGCGUGCAAGUACAUACAGCUAUUACUAAAAGGCAUAUAGAUUUGAAACUUAUUUUUUCUUUUUCUAGAUCAAUUACCUACCUCACUGGGUCAAGCCCCAUAACUCUGACAUGUAUUUUGGCCAAAUUAUGCCCCCUUUUGGACUUAGAAAAUUCUGGUUAAAGUUUUGCGUGCAAGUACAUACAGCUAUUACUAAAAGGCAUAUAGAUUUGAAACUUAUUUUUUCCUUUUCUAGGUCAAUUACCUACCUCACUGGGUCAAGUUCCAUAACUCUGACACGUAUUUUGGGCAAAUUAUACCCCCUUUUGGACUUAGAAAAUUCUGGUUAAAGUUUUACAUGCAAGUAACUAUCUCCAAAACUACUACAGAUAUUAAAUUGAAACUUCACAUGUGUCUUCGGGGUUAUAAAACUAGUUGAUAGCACCAAGUCCCAUAACUCUGACAUGUAUUUUGGGCAAAUUAUGCCCCCUUUUGGACUUAGAAAAUCCUGGUUAAAGUUUUGCGUGCAAGUACAUACGGCUAUUACCAAAAGGCAUAUAGCUUUGAAACUUAUUUAUUCUUUUUCAAGGUCAAUUACCAACCUCACUGGGUCAAGUUCCAUAACUCUUAACAUGUAUUUUGAGCAAAUUAUGCCCCCUUUUGGACUUAGAAAAUUCUGGUUAAAGUUUAACAUGCAAGUUACUAUCCCCAAAACUAAUGCAGAUAUUGAAUUGAAACUUAACAUGUUUCUUCGGGGUUAUAAAACUAGUUGAUAACAUCAAGUCCCAUAACUCUGAUAUGUAUUUUGGUCAAAUUAUGUCCCCUUUCGAACUUAAAACUCUUGAUAUUUAACAUUUUGGGUAAUAAUUUCCUGCUUCUGUGACAAUAUUUCGAAUAGUCGAGCUUGGCUGUCUUACGGACAGCUCUUGUUAUUUGAUUACACUACGCUUUGUAGCAAUAUUUGUUGAUCCAGUCGCAUUGCCAGGUAUAGUAGUCGCAACUUGACCGCGAUGGUUGACCUUAGGCUGAUUAUUCAUAUCGUUAUUUCAUUAUAGAAAUCAAGGGUGCUAAGGGUAGCCGUGUAUAUUCAUAUGGAAUGAGUUUGUAAACAGUGCAGUAUCAAAGUAUAUAUACUUACAUUUGAUCAGUGAAAACCUUCCAAUACAACAAUUUAUAUUUACUCAAAUUCAUAUUUCCUUUUUCUCGUGCAGCUCGUGUUUUACCUACACUCCUUUUCAAUAAUAGGUUGUGCCUUAUUAUGUUUUAAAAUGCAAAGGUCAACCAUCGGGGUCAAGUUGCGUCCACUAUAUAAUAAAGCCCUGCUCCGCAGCUAUUCAAAUUCUAUUGUGUGUAUGCAACCCAUGAUUACAAUAACAGUUAACGGCCACGCGCAACACUUUAUCACGCAAAACCACAGGUAUUUUAUAUAGAAUUUUAUAUAACAUUGACUCUGUUUUGACAGGCGUCACUGUUCAUAGUCAGGAUUUUUAUGCUUUUUCAGUGACAAUUUAAAACCUUAAAAGGUAGGACUGGAGCAGAUCUUUAAGGUUAGAAAUACUACGAGUUUCAAUAUUACCAUAACUUAGACGUUGACAGAACGUACAGGAACGUACAAAGCAUCUACUUACUCCUGUUUAUCGUCUAAGAUUUAAAAGCGCCUUAUGUCUAAUUCCAUGUUUUCUUACCUGUUUUAGUACUUUGUUUUGUAGCAUUAACAUUACAUAUAUAAAGCUCCGCAAUCACUUCCAAACGACAAGCCAUUUUCAACUGAAUUUAGACCAGGAGAAAAUAUGGCACGGUGUGAGUAGAAAAUGGUACGAAAUAGUUUUCGUUAUAGGUCCAUGUUACCCUUGUAUGGGAGGUAACUUACCGUAUUGUAUGGGAGGUAACAUGCUGUAUUGUAUGGGAGGUAACUUGCCGUAUUGUAUGGGAGGUAACUUGCCGUAUUGUAUGGGAGGUAACUUACUGUUAUGGGAGGUAACUUACUGUAACAUUAAUUUACAGAUUGCAGACUAACGAAGAAAAUGGUAUGAUCUGUGUGAUCACAUUGCAAUGAGACAUUUUACAAACACAGUAAUUAGUAAUUUGUGAUGACACACUAUUUCGGUAGGGACUUCUGAAUUCAAAAUAGUCCGGUCGUGGAAGUUUUAAAGAAUGGAAAUACUGCGGCUCCUUGUUGGUCAUCCUGCUUUUAACAUUUUCUUUAUUUUGUUUUGUAUGUCACAUGUCCCUAUGGAGGGUAUGAAUGUAGCAUUCAUUUUACAUAUUGUUUUUUUUUUCAAACUUUUCUAAAAUAUUCUGAUGUUUUCGAAUUGUUAAUUUAGAAAUAUAUGUGCAAUAAAUGUCACGACCUCGCCGGAAAAAAAACAACAUCUUGCAAUAGUGGAUUGUUGGGGUCAUUUACUUCCUUAAAACACCCUUAACUGAUAUAUAGGUCUGUUAUUGAUUAAUUCAUAUCCUUCAGUAUAAUUGUACUUUUAUGUUUGUCUGAAUGCAUGCUUUAAUGGAUGUAGCUGCAGCGAAAGUCACAAUAGACUGAUGAACCUAGGUAUCCUUUUAAAUAACCAAUUAUUUGAAUUAAUGUAGAAAAUCAUUUUUAGCUCGACUAUUCAUAGAAUAGUAGAGCUAUUGGACUCGCCCAUGCGUCGGCGUCCGCGUCGGCGUCCGCGUCUGCGUCCGCGUCCCGAUUUGGUUAAAUUUUUGUAUGUAAGCUGGUAUCUCAGCAACCACUUGUGGGAAUGGAUUGAAACUUCACACACUUAUUCACUGUGAUAAACUGACUUACAUUGCACAGGUUCCAUAACUCUAUUUUGCUUUUUUACAAAAUUAUGCCCCUUUUUUUACUUAGAAAUUUUUGGUUAAGGUUUUGUAUGUAAGCUGGUAUCUCAGCAACCACUUGUGGGAAUGGAUUAAAACUUCACACACUUAUUCACUGUGAUAAACUGACUAACAUUGCACAGGUUUCAUAACUCUAUUUUGCUUUUUUUUACAAAAUUAUGCCCCUUUUUCGACUUAGAAUUUUUUGGUUAAGGUUUUGUAUGUAAGCUGGUAUCUCAGUACUCACUAAUUGGAAUGGAUUGAAACUUCACACACUUGUUCACUGUCAUGAUAUGACAUGCAGUGCAAAGGGUCAAUAACUCAACUUUGCAUUUUACAAAAUUAUGCCCCUUUUUAAACUUAGGAGUUUUAGGUUAAAUUCUUAUAUGUAAGCUGGUAUCUCAGUACCCACUAAUGGGAAUGGAUUGAAACUUCACACACUUGUCAACUGUCAUGAGCUGAUAAGCACUAUGCAGGUUCCAUAACCCUAUUUUGCUUUUUUUAAAUAUUGCCCCUUUUUAGACUUUCGUAUUCAUUCAGUCGACAAGGCUGUUGAAUAGUCGAGCGUUGCUGUCCUCCGACAGCUCUUGUUAAAAAUUACCAAUAUCCAACACUUAUAUUCACUACCUUUAUCACCAAACUUGAUGGAUUGAACAUUUUGAAAAAUGUCACCCAACUGUCGGCGAGAAGCUUAAAAAAUAAAUGAGCCGUGCCAUGGGAAAACCAACAUAGUGAGUAUGCGACCAGCAU